UCUCGAUUAAUUAAAAUGUGGUUGAUAAAUAUGUUCAUUUAUAUAUAGGCUUACAAUCUUUCACGAUAUUCUCAACUUACAGCUGACAUGAUAUCCUGGACAGUCAAUAUUUUACAACAUAAUGACAUGUGAUGACAAACAUUAAAUUGCCCAGUCAUUAAAAAGUCAUCACAUACACAGGGAGUCAUAUUUUUCUUAAAAAAUUGAAGCAGAUGCACAUGGGAAUAAUGCAUGAUAAUAUUACUAGAAUUCACAAAAAGCAAGAAAAUGAAGCCGGAUACAUAUGCACUUUGACACAUAGGAAAUAUAGAUGUCAGUGUUUACUUAAAAGUGAAUGAAUUCAUUACUUCCUUAUUUAUUCAUUUUCUUUUCGAUGUAUUGAUGUAAGAAUUAAACUGGAUAAGAAAGACAUUGUGUAUUGAACAAAUCGGAAACCUAUGAUUUGUUAGAAAGACCCCAUUAUUGGAUGACUGAAUACUUUGAAUAAUUAUUCAUUUAAAAUAGCAAUUUGGAAUAAUAAGAAUUCUUAGUUUCAGUGAAUAUUUAUAGUGCAUCAUAUCUGAAUUUAUGGAUACCUUGGAUGAGUAUUCAUUUAAAAUUGCAAUUAAGAAUAAUGAAAAAUCAUAGUUUCAGUGAAAUAUAUAGAGCAAUUUGGGAUAAUGAGAAUUCAUAGUUUCAGUGAAACUUAAAUUGCAUCACAUCUGGAGUAAAUGAUGGCAUUGCAAUGGUUUAGUGUCAAAUGACUGCUUGCUGUACUUAAAGUCAAAAGAACCAUGCACAGAGAUGUCAGAAAACCCCAAAAUGCAUUGGAAAGUUAAUAGCAACAAAUUUCCUCUUCUUUCAACGUUAGCCAGAAAUCCACAAGCAAUACCUGCCACAUCAGCUCCUGUCGAAAGACUAUUUGGUAUUACUCGCAUAGUGUUCAGACCAGAGAGAUGCAGGCUAAAUGGAAAAGAUUUGAAUGACUAAUGAUGAUCAAAUGCAAUGCUAAAACUGUGUUGUAAGCUUACAUGUAUAUUUAACACAUGCUAUACAUAUAUUGUAUAUUACAUAUUGUUUAAU